rnacentral:rRNA from 1 species
UACGGAGGAUGCGAGCGUUAUCCGGAUUUACUGGGUGUAAAGGGAGCGCAGACGGCAGUGCAAGUCUGGAGUGAAAGCUCGGGGCCCAACCCCGGAACUGCUCUGGAAACUGUGCGGCUAGAGUACUGGAGGGGCAGGCGGAAUUCCUAGUGUAGCGGUGAAAUGCGUAGAUAUUAGGAGGAACACCAGUGGCGAAGGCGGCCUGCUGGACAGUAACUGACGUUGAGGCUCGAAAGCGUGGGGAGCAAACAGG